AUGUCCCCUUCAUUUUGCCAAGACGCGACAACCAGGAACGCCCAAGGACGCCUUCAUGGAUUUUGCCAAAUGCGACCACCGCUGAACAAAGGGUUUUUGCCUUGCUCAUUUUGGAUACACCAAGUUCCUCUUCAAAACGUACAACUACUCGGCGUUGCGUCAAGUAUCCCGAUGGCCGGAGUCCUCGGAUCCAUCAAGUUCGUCUACGAACCGAGAAUAACUACCGUCUUCGAAGAACCGUGUAGCGGAACCGUCAAGUUCGACUAUGACUCGUGUACGACUACGUGGGAUUCCUCGGACGCCAAGUUCAACGAUGCAUCAAGUUCCUCGCCGUGA
rnacentral:rRNA from 1 species